rnacentral:tRNA from 1 species
GGCCUCGUAGCUCAGUUGGCUAGAGCGUUGGCUGUACUAAAACCUUCCCUAUGGGUUUGAAUCCCACCGAGGCCG